rnacentral:lncRNA from 1 species
CCAGGUCUGAGGGUCACGAUCACAGUGCCAGCGGGAAACACCAGGCAUCAGCGGCCCCCGCUGUGCUUGGCAUAAGCCUUUCUGUCCCCGGAUAAUCAGGAGCUCAGGAGUUAGGGUCUCAGCACUGGUACUGGGAACCCAGUGUUUCAUGAUCCCAACCCUACACCAUGCACACGGCCACCCCACACUCAGGACAUCUUCCGAGAGUGCGACCGAGACCAUUCAGGCACCCUGAACUCCUACGAGAUGCGCCUGGCAGUGGAGAGGGCCGGUGGCUGGGGCAGGCAGGGCUGCGGGGUGCAGGGGGGCCACGUCCAGAGGCCCACACUGUCCCCUUCCCACCCCUCAAUCCCAGGCAUUAAGUUGAACAACGAGGUGGUGGAGGUGCUGGCGGCUCGAUAUGCAGACGACAACCUGACCCUGGACUUGGACAACUUCCUCUGCUGUUUCCUGAGGCUGAAGGCUGUGUUCAACCUGGACUCCGCUCUCAGCCCGUGCCCGGCCGCCUCUCUAACACAGCCUUUGUUCUAACCAUGGACCCCAAGAACACCGGCUAGAUCCGCUUAAACCUGGAGCAGUGGCUGCAGAUAACUCUGUGAGGGGAGCCAGCUCCCCCUGCCUGCAGGGUCUGAGGGCCAGGUGCUCGGUGCCACCCUAGGGCCAGGUCCCUGCAGAGGGCAUGGGCUCCACAUGCCAAAGUUACUCCAUGCCUGCCCUCCCAGCUCAAAUCCCCCUCUCCCCACCCCUGCCAGGCUUCUAGUGCCUGGGUCGGCCCCACGGGCUCGAGCUCUUUCUGAAUCUGUUUUACUAAAAAUUAAGUGACACUUCCCCAGCAUCCCCUGUCCACACCCACCUGCGCCUGGCACUCACCCCCUCACCUGUGGACAGUACUGUAAUAAAUGCCGCCUGCCACCCAUUCCCCAGUUCUGUGUCUCCAUGCUAUGAAAAGACAAGAGCAAAGAGGGGUGUCCCGUCGCUCUCAGAGGAAGGGGAUAGCACCU